GUCAGUAACUCAGGGCUUAAGCCACUGAGCUUGUAAGAGACAAGUCUUACGUGUCUGACUAGCUCAUUAGACGUAGUUUGGUACAAACUUCCGAAUGCUUUCCCAGUUCGGAUUAUCUUUAAACUACCUUGUUAGUAGUGUUGCGUUAUGGCAAGACAUCUUAGCUACGUUGAGCGAGGGAACUUAAACUUUACUCGGAG
rnacentral:sRNA from 1 species